CUUUUUUCGCACACAAAUUCAGCGUGCGGUCGUGCACUCAUGCAAUAAUUUCAUUCCUCCAUCAGCUCCAUCUCAGGACUGCUGUGACGUGCCUGGUGUGUGCCACGAACCAGUUUUGAUGAACGCGCAUGCGGCCACCAUCUGCUUUCCUGAAGACUGCGUUGCGUCACCAAUAGGGCCCACCACUUCUCCAAGUGAACCCUGCUCUCCAUCUCAAGACUGCUGCGACCUACCUGUUGCUUGUCAUGAACCGAUUUUGACCAAUGGUCAGUCUCAUGAAGCCAGAGGAAUACCAUGCGGUUCUGCUGCUAGGCAAGAUGCAAAUAACGUCGGGUCUCACACAUGACCAUUCAUGCUGUGAUGUCUUGGGCGCACCCACACUGCCUUUAUCUGAUGGUUCGUUGCCCGACGAUCGCUUGGCAACACACAUUUUGGUAUUCAUGCUCGGACAUCUUUCCACUAGGUGGAAGCAAACCAUCGCAUAUCACCUGACUGGCAACUGUAUUCACGCUGCCAGCUAAGCUCAAGUAGUUGACCUAAUUACCGCACGCGAGUCCAUUGGCCUCAGUAUUCAUGUUGUGUCUGACAUGGGCAGUGCAAAUUGGGCACUUUGGAAGCUCUUCGGAAUUACUGUCUGAAAGCACAGCAAACUGCGAACCAGUUGCCCUCACCUCUAUGACCCACAGAGAUAGCUUUGGUUCAUGGCUGAUGUACCUCACUUGCUAAAAAAUCUAACAAAUCAUUUGACUGAAGGUUAGCUCAUUAUCAACCCGAAGAAAUUGUUAAGAAACAUGAUUUGCCGACAAACUGCGUGAACAUAUAUGGAGUUUAUAAGGGCCCUUGUGCGGCACGACAAGACGGAUGACAUAAAACUUGCGCCGCACUUGAUUGCUUCUGUUCUUGAUCCAAAUCAUUACGAUAUAAUGGAAGUAAGCCCGGCUUUUUCUCAUUUUCAUAACGACGCGGCUUCUGGUUUGCGUUUGCUGGAGGAGCAGAGAAAAAUUUUCAGAAACGCAUAUACUACUGCAUGGUUCGUUGAAACUGUGUUUAGGUGGUUUCGCCUCAUGACGUCACGAACAAUGAACCUUGCUUUCAGCCAUUUGGUUGAGAAAAAUCAUCAGGACAGUUGCAUUUUUGAAUGCGACAGCCGAAUUGUUCUAAAAAAUUCUUAUUGGCAGUGAAAACAGCUGUUUGGAAGCCUGUAGAAACAGGCAUCAUUCGACAAGAAGAGCUCUAGAAGUCCAAGAUGUACUUCUCGGCAAGUACAACUUUGAGUAUGUGUUCCUAAGCAGAUUAAGCCAAGAUGGCCUUGAAAACUUCUUCUCCAUCCUGCGUGCGAAAAACCCUGUACCGCGACUAUAUGAAUUUAAAUGCAGCUUGAGGAGCGCAACACUAGCGCAAUUCCUCAAGCCCAGAAAGCAUGGUAGCUGUUUUGAGGAGAAAGGCUAUGUGGUAAAAAAUUUGUGGAACACAAGUGACGCAAAACUCAAGACAAGCACCAUUCAAGCUAUAGAAGACCUGGAUUUAAGUCCUGAAGUAGAGUAGUUGAUAGCAUACCUUACGGGCUACGUAGUUUCAAGGCUGAUAAAGCGAAUACAGUGUCAAGAGUGUCACAAUUCACUGGUUGAUAAUGGCACACCUAUCAAGUUGAUACAACUGAAAAAUUUUUCUGAGCACCGUCUGACUACUCAGUCACAAGGAGUGAUUGAGGUGAUCAAAGUUGUUGAGAGCUACUUCUGCAAUAACAAAGAAGCACUAAUUCAGUAAAUGUGGCAGAGGUGCAGCAAAGCAUUAGUCGAAGCUUUUCCACACGAACAUGCUUUCCUUCAUGUCACAAUGUGACACCUAAUAUUGUUCAAAAAUUUUGCAAAGUGUGCAUGGAGGUUCUUGUGAAAACGGAAGCUUCAAAAAAUUUUAUAUUGCUGGAAGCUCAAAAUGUGCCAGCAAAAGUAUGGAAACGCUAGCUGCAGUGUCCACCAUCAAGUGAGGUGGUGGUGAGUGGAUAUGCAAUACAUAAUUAAAGGGGCUGCAGCUGCCUUUAUAUUAAGUUGUAUACUUUACCUAAGCCUUCGAAGGAGGCUUAGCAGUCAAACGUCAGAGUCACUAUGCCACUGAUACGAGUUAAGGCAGCCUUUUUGUGCACACACACAUAUACUGCUAUUUUCUAAAUAUCACUUGCGCUUUUCGUCUGCUACAGUCAUAUACAGCUCAAAAAUGAAGCCAGAGGGCCUCCUUCAAUUCUGUGAAUGGCAGUGACCAAUUGUAAUGAUGCUGCGGUUAAUCCAAUUUCGCAGAAGCCCCUACCUGCGAUUGGACCAAGGUUUUUUUUUUUUUUUUUUUUUACUGGGAUUUCUUCCAUCUGCAGUGUUGUUUUCAUUGCAACAGAGCCGCUAUUUGCAAAGGACAAGCUCUUAGCGCAAGAUCCCAUUGUCCGUCAACUUUCGGGCACUCUGAAACUGCUGCAUAGUGUAUAAAACGAUGCUGUUUUGUGCCAUGACACACUGUUACCACUCUUGUGUUUUCUUGAGCAAGUCUUUUUCUCAGCUGCCAUCCAUACUGCAUAGCAUAUUUCUACAAUAGCAUUGAUUCUGAUGCUGAAUAUUAUAUGAUACUCUUCUCGGUUACGUAUAUCUUGUCAACCAACGUUUUUGCGCAUGCAUGAAAAUAAAACAUCAUGCUGACCAUGCUCUUUGAUUUUUGUUGUGAUAAAUUUUUUGUGAUGCCUAAUCAAAAUCACAAUUUUAACUCUGCUACUACAUAAUGUAAUGGCAUUUCGGUGUGAACUGUCAAAAUACGUCAUCCAGAGGUGUUUCUCUUGCCUAAAAAUAUAAAAUGCCUUCUUCUGCCAUAGGUAU
rnacentral:lncRNA from 1 species